CACGUAGGGCGCGAGCGUUGUCCGGAAUUAUUGGGCGUAAAGAGCUCGUAGGCGGUCUGUCGCGUCGGUCGUGAAAACUUGGGGCUUAACCCUGAGCUUGCGGUCGAUACGGGCAUGACUGGAGUUCGGCAGGGGAGACUGGAAUUCCUGGUGUAGCGGUGAAAUGCGCAGAUAUCAGGAGGAACACCGGUGGCGAAGGCGGGUCUCUGGGCCGAUACUGACGCUGAGGAGCGAAAGCGUGGGGAGCGAACAGG
rnacentral:rRNA from 1 species